GGUGAUUUUUCAUGCAAAUUGAAUUGGACCCAUAAUAUGGCUUGCGGUGCGGUUCAUUGACUAACAGAACGUGAGGAAGUCUGUUCUCCUGUACUUUGAGCCAGGAGUCAGAUGGAGUCGGGCACUGACGGCGGAGCAGCCCACUCUGAGUUUCGAAACUGCUCUUCAGAAACCUGUGGCCGACGUCAUGGAUGCGACGCUCAUCUUUAAGCGCCCUCGGACCAAGGAGCUAAGGUAGCAGCACUUAGCCAAGUUAAUGAAUGGACUUUGGAUAGAAGCAUAUUGAACAGGGGCAACUUCUCAACAACAGUCCCUAAACAGGAGGAAACUGGCAGGAGCCUUUUCUAGAUGUCUGCUCAUUAAAUUAAUUGAGACCAACAGUGACUGAUGUUCCUGAUACACCUGAAGUAAUUUCCUGCACAAUCAGACUCAUCCACUGUAAAAUUAGGAUCAAGAGGUUCUUGUGAGGAAAACAAGACAGAGUAACUUCAGAAGGUCUCCAGAGAGUGAUGUGUGGUGAGAGGCAGCGAGGACGUUCAGACUGAGAUGGUGUUCAUAAAAAA